AGCGUUGCUCUUGGAUAAGUAUCAAUAACCUCAGAACUAUGGAAAGAACCAUGUGUGGAGUUUGGCACCACAGAUAUUCUCUGAGUGAUUGAAGUCUCUUCUACCAUGAGGCCUUGAAAGCUCCAUGAUAGAGAUGACAGAGCUAUAAGAUGAAAGCAGCCCAAAUCCCUGAGUCACCAAUGUUUGAAGAAGAGCUUCCCAGGAGAGGUACCAGACCCACAUGAGACUUCACAUGAUUAUAAAAUGAACUUCUAUUGUGUUGAAUCUCUGAACUUCAGGGUUGUUUUGCAGCACAGACUACAUUAUAGUGACAAGUAGAGGAAGGUACAGUAAAAGCCUUGCCAUCACUCCCAUUAUACAGAGGAAGAAACUGAGACCUAGAGAAGUUCAGAACCUUGCUACAUCAAUCAGAAGUACAAGCCAAGGCUCAUGAAGUGGUUUCCUUAUUUUCUCACCCCAAGUUAGGAUCACCUCCGAAGGAAAUGACUUACACCCAAAUCAGGAUCUGUUUUUGAGGGAACCCAACAUAACACAUGGAGAGAUGGGUUUCCUAUGAAGAAGGAAAUAUGGGCUGUAAAAUACCACGGAGAGUCAGAGUUCAAUUUCUCAGACAUUCACUUUACCCGGAAGUCCAGCUGUGACAGCUAAUAGAUGAAACCAUCCAAUUUGCAAGUUCCCCUGAGUCUCUGCUGUAAAAUCAGCCUGAUCCUCAGGAAGUUCCACACCUAGGUCUCCACUCUCAGCCCUAUGACCUCACCUCCACAGACUCUGCACUUGAGCAUUCCACCCUCAGCGCUUGUGAAAGGAGUCAUGGGAGACACAAGGCUGGAGGAUGUGUCUGCAUCUUCAGAAACCCGCUAACAGGGACAGCGUCUGUGAUACCGGCUGACGCUCAUUAAACCAAGGCUCUAGUAGCCUGUUCCUCUCAGAUUUCAGAACUAAAAGAACAGUCUGGUUAUCCUGACUUCUUCUUUUAUCAUAAGAUGCUGCAAGUCGAAUCUACAGCAGUCAGGGUUAAGAGAAAUCAUUAAGUAAUAACAAAGUCAGGAGUUUCUUCUCUGAGGUAAGCUUUGCUGGAAAUUUCUCGUCCCUACUCAAGAUGGCAACCAAGGACACUUUGGAGAUAGCAGCUUAGAAAUGGCCCUGAAGUGGGUCUUUCCUUAGACUUUAGGUGAAAACACUUUCCCCUGAUCCUCUGGGGAAACGGCUCCCCUGAGGUUGUCUGGGGUUUUUACAGAGCUCUUCUAAAGACCCUGGGCCUUGGGGCAUGCUGUUUAAUUUACUGGGUUAUUGGCUGUCAUAUUGAAGACAAAUGCAUCCAAGGAAAAAAUGGCUCAAGAAGAACAGACUCCUCCAUCACUUCAAUCAAGGGGUCCUUCACGAACAUGCUUCAUUAACAGCAAAAAGGGCUGUUGGGGUGCUUUGUCCUUACUCUACAUCCCCCUCUCAGCUCUGCAAGACUACUGCUGUCCUCCCAGCAAACCAAGCCCGGCAGAGAGAGAAGCCAUCACAGGAACACAGUUGGCCUCAGCAGCCUGAUGCUCUCAAGGAAUGUGUUGAAUCACUACACAGAUAAUCAGAAGGCAGCUGCUAAGGUUCAGAAGAGAAACAGCAGGUUCUAUCAUUAAGUGAGAAGCUGCCCACAUGAAGAGUUGCCCUAGGCCCCCGAAUGUGACUAAAACACAGCCCAAGAAGGCCGCUACAGCUGCAAUUCCAUGCCUGUGCUGAGGCCCCUGCGUGUCUAGCGCCACUGUACUCUUCGACUCCAAGGUGUACCAUUCAUGUGGAAGGCUAUGUAAAUCAUGCUUCUUGGAGGGAGGCCAGGCCACAGCCCUGCAGGUGGGCACAUCCUGUAUCAGUCCAUUCUCAUGUUACUGAUAAAGACAUACCUAA
rnacentral:lncRNA from 1 species